rnacentral:piRNA from 1 species
GCCCUUGGCCUGCGUACACUUCCU